rnacentral:tRNA from 1 species
AGCCCGGUGGUGUAGUGGUCAAGCAUGUGAGACUCUGGAUCUCACGACCUCGGUUCGAAUCCGUGCCGGGCUA